rnacentral:ribozyme from 14 species
UUUUGUUUCUUUUCGCGUUGGUUUUUUGCUUUAUUUUUCUUGUGCUUUCUCUUUGUGCGUACUUUUC